ensembl:lncRNA
AUGAACGUGGGACUCUUCACAUCACGUGGUAUAGGACCUAAUUCACCAGGUUCACCUCUCUCCCCGCACCGGAACUCAAACGCUGACCUUCUCCUCCCGCCCUGCCCUAGCUGUGCCUGCGUGCCCUGCUCCUGUGGAAGAAAGCUGCAUCUUUUCCAAGAAGAGUUGCUGUCUUGCUCAGAUGAAAGGCGUGAAGCCAGGCUGAGAAGACAAGGGCCAUGCUCUCUGAGUGGCCGUGAAGGGGAUGCUGGCGAGCUCAGAGCACACAACACACUGACCACCCUGGAAACAGCCCUCACUACCAGCAACUUCUCUCACAGGAAACAAAUGGGUGAUGGACUACUGUUGUCUAUACUGUCUAUACCCUUUACAGAAAGGGUUUAGCCAUGUAUUUAGCCUGUGUUUAGCGAGUGUCCAACAAUGCAUGAGGAUGUGAAGGUGGGUAUUUGACACCUGCCAUUUUGUUCUCCAUCUUUGGGGCCUCUGGUGGUGCUCCAACACCGCACAAGAGCUGGAUUAUACACAGGCGACCCUUGGCCAUGCCUCUCUCAUGUUUCUAGUGAUAGCGUGAUUCUAAAGCUAUCCACCAAAGACCCUGGUUAUUCAGUCACUCAUUUAGAUACGGCUGUGAAGGCACGUUGCAGAUGUAAUUAAGGUGUCUAAUCGGCUGGUCUUAAAAUAUCAAUAUUACCCUGGAUUAUUCAAGUAGAUCCAAUUGAUCACAUGAACUCUUAAAAUUAGAAGAGAGUAGACUAGUCAGGCAGAGAGCAGUGUAAGAGGAAACAAGAGACACGAGGUAGAAGGGAGGCCAGAGAGAGUUGAAGCAUCAGUGUCCAGCCAGGUAAUAGGACCUGAGUUCUGUAACCACAUGGAACUGAGUUCUUUCAACAACCUGAAUGCACCUGAAAGCAAUACUUUGGGAGAGCCUCCCGAUAACAGCUCAACCUACUGACACUUUGAUUUUGGACUCGUGAGCCUCUAAACUGAAACCAGCGAAGUCAGCCUGAAUCUCUGACCCAUGAAACUAUGAGGUAAUGAAUGCUUUCAUCUUGUGCCGCUAAGGUUGUGAUAAUUCAUUAUAUCAGCAAUAAGAAACUGGUUCACACUAGUGUUGUAGCCAUGUGUUUGCAGGAUCUGACCCCCUUCUUCCUUCAUAGCUUAUGGGAGUUCAGAGGGCAAUGGGGGAUCCCUUUAGCUGGUCAUGUUUGGGAGAAGGGAGGAAGAGAAUGAAGCUUUGACAAACUCUGAAACCCAUAGCUGUAUGUAGCAACGGCAGUACCUGUCUAUAGUGCUCCUACUUCAAAAUAACUUGCUUGCAGUUUCUUGAAUUCUUAAAACAAAGCAAAACAAAAUGGCUGUGUCCCUGCCUUUCUCAUUCCUUUUUUAUUUAGGUGGCUAAAUGAACUUGUCUUAAGACAGUUCCUUGUUCCCUAGGAGGAAGGAUGAAAGGACUUUCUUUGCUGGGAGUUUGACUGAGGAGCUCAGAAUUGUAAAGAAUAGAAGACAGGAUUUGAUGGAAAGAUCAAUGGAUUGUGGAAACAUUUCCAGAAAGAAAGGUGUCCCAACAAAUGAUUUUUUUUUUAGGAAACAGAUGUAUUUAUUUGUUUGAAAAUCAGAGCUAGAGAGAGAGAGGGAAGAAAAGAAAGACAAGAAAGACACACACACACACACACACACACACACAGACCUUCCAUAUGCUGGUUCACUCCCCAGAUGUCCUAACCAGCCAAGCUGGGCCAGGCCUAAGCCAGGAGCCAGGAACUUCAUCCUGGUCUUCCACAUGGGUGGCAGGGUCUGGAGCACUUGGGCCGUCCUCUGCUUCCUUUCAAGGCACAAUAGCAGGAAGCUGGAUUAGAAGUGAUGCAGCUGGGAUGCAAACUAGCACUCUGGUGUGGGAUGGCGGCAUCACAAGCAGAUCUUACCUUUCUGUCCCACACAAGGGCCCUGAGAAAUGACUUCCUGCUUCAACUUGACCUUCAUAGAGUGCUUACAAUCUAAGGUCCUUAAACAGAGUCCUGGCUACAUUCUUGGAAGAGGCAACCAUUGCAUUUGAGAACCACAAGAUGUGGCCUUAUUGGAGGUAUCACACCAGUCCCAUGAAUUUUAGGAGACCCGAGCCUCUGUUACAGGGAUGGGAAAAGUGAAGACAAGCCCUGCUUGUUUAUGCUGUAAAUAUGUCUGAUUCCUUCUGAUGUGAACAAACUUAGGGUCACUCUCCCAACCCCCAAACUCACCUCCCAGUGAGACAUCUGGAGACCUAUUAUGAAGCAAUUUAAAAAUGGCCAGUGGGGCAGAUAUUGUGGCGCAGGAGUUUAAGCUGCCAUCUGUGACACUAGCAUCUCAUAUGAGCGCCAGUCGGAGUCCUGGCUGCCCCGCUUCUGAUCCAGCUCCCUGCUAAUGUGUCUGGGAAGGCAGUCAAAAUGAACCCAGUUCUUGUGCCCCUGCAACACAUGUAGGAGACCUGGUCGAGUUGUAGGUUCCUGGCUUUGGCCUGGCCCAGCCCCAGCCACUGAGGCCAUUUGGGGAAUAAACCAGUGGAUGGAAGAUCUCCCCUACCA